UACGGGAGGCAGCAGUGGGGAAUAUUGCACAAUGGGCGAAAGCCUGAUGCAGCUAUGCCGCGUGUAUGAAGAAGGCCUUAGGGUUGUAAAGUACUUUCAUCGGGGAGGAAAAACAAAACUAAUAAUUUUAUUUCUUGACGUUACCCGAAAAAGAAGCACCGGCUAACUCCGUGCCAGCAGCCGCGGUAAUACGGAGGGUGCUAGCGUUAAUCAAAAUUACUGGGCGUAAAGAGCACGUAGGUGGUUUUUUUAAGUCAGAUGUGAAAUCCCUGGGCUUAACCUAGGAACUGCAUUUUGAAACUGAAAUACUAGAGUAUCGUAGAGGGAGGUAGAAUUCUAGGUGUAGCGGUGAAAUGCGUAGAUAUCUGGAGGAAUACCUGUGGCGAAAGCGGCCUCCUAAACGAAUACUGACACUGAGGUGCGAAAGCGUGGGGAGCAAACAGGGAUUAGAUACC
rnacentral:rRNA from 1 species